UGGGGAAUUUUGGACAAUGGGGGAAACCCUGAUCCAGCCAUGCCGCGUGCGGGAAGAAGGCCUUCGGGUUGUAAACCGCUUUUGUCGGGGAAGAAAUCCUUCGAGCUAAUACCUUGAGGGGAUGACGGUACCCGAAGAAUAAGCACCGGCUAACUACGUGCCAGCAGCCGCGGUAAUACGUAGGGUGCAAGCGUUAAUCGGAAUUACUGGGCGUAAAGCGUGCGCAGGCGGUUGUGCAAGCCAGAUGUGAAAUCCCCGGGCUUAACCUGGGAACUGCAUUUGUGACUGCACGGCUCGAGUGCGGCAGAGGGGGAUGGAAUUCCGCGUGUAGCAGUGAAAUGCGUAGAUAUGCGGAGGAACACCGAUGGCGAAGGCAAUCCCCUGGGCCUGCACUGACGCUCAUGCACGAAAGCGUGGGGAGCAAACAGG
rnacentral:rRNA from 1 species